rnacentral:rRNA from 1 species
GACGAACGCUGGCGGCGUGCUUAACACAUGCAAGUCGAACGGAAAGGCCCUGCUGUUUUCUGGUGCUCGGGUGGCGAACGGGUGAUUAACCCGUGCGUACCCUGCGCUUGACUUUGGGAUAACUUCAGGUAACUGGGGCUAAUACCUGAUAGGAGCUCCUGCUGCAUGGUGGGGGUUGGAAAGUUUCGGCGGGUGGGGAUGGACUCGCGGCUGAUCGGCUUGUUGGUGGGGUAGUGGCUGACCAAGGCUUUGACGGGUAGCCGGCCUGAGAGGGUGACCGGCCACAUGGGGACUGAGAUACGGCCCAGACUCCUACGGGAGGCAGCAGGGGGGAAUAUUGCACAGUGGGCGGAAGCCUGAGGCAGCAACGCCGCGUGCGGGAUGACGGCCUGCGGGUUGUAAACCGCUGUCGCCUGUGACGAAGCGUGAGUGACGGUAAUGGGUAAAGAAGCACCGGCUAACUACGUG